CAGUAGCCGCGGGAAUACGUAGGGUGCGAGCGUUAAUCGGAAUUACUGGGCGUAAAGCGUGCGCAGGCGGUUAUAUAAGACAGAUGUGAAAUCCCCGGGCUCAACCUGGGACCUGCAUUUGUGACUGUAUAGCUAGAGUACGGUAGAGGGGGAUGGAAUUCCGCGUGUAGCAGUGAAAUGCGUAGAUAUGCGGAGGAACACCGAUGGCGAGGGCAAUCCCCUGGACCUGUACUGACGCUCAUGCACGAAAGCGUGGGGAGCAAACAGGAUUAGAUACCCCUGUAGUCCCUGUCUCUUAUAC
rnacentral:rRNA from 1 species